rfam:Butyricimonas synergistica isolate 43_13 Ley3_66761_scaffold_3317, whole genome shotgun sequence.
GGUGCCAUAGCUCAGUUGGUAGAGCAAAGGACUGAAAAUCCUUGUGUCCCCGGUUCGAUUCCUGGUGGCACCA